UGCAGUCGAGCGGUAGCACANANAGCUUGCUCNCGGGUGACGAGCGGCGGANGGGUGAGUAAUGUCUGGGAAACUGCCUGAUGGAGGGGGAUAACUACUGGAAACGGUAGCUAAUACCGCAUAACGUCNCAAGACCNANGUGGGGGACCUUCGGGCCUCNUGCCAUCNNAUGUGCCCNGAUGGGAUUAGCUAGUANGUGGGGUANUGGCUCACCUAGGCGACNAUCCCUAGCUGGUCNGAGAGGAUGACCNNCCACACUGGAACUGAGACACGGUCCANACUCCUACGGGAGGCANCNNUGGGGAAUAUUGCACAAUGGGCGCAAGCCUGAUGCANCCAUGCCGCGUGUANNAANAANGCCUUCGGGUUGUAAAGUACUUUCANCGAGGANGAANGCNUUAAGGUUAAUAACCUUGGUGAUUGACNUUACUCGCANAAAAAGCACCGGCUAACUCCGUGCCAGCANCCNCGGUAAUACNGANGGUGCAAGCGUUANUCNGAAUUACUGGGCGUAAAGCGCACGCANGCGGUCUGUCAAGUCNGAUGUGAAAUCCCCGGGCUCAACCUGGGAACUGCAUUCNAAACUGGCAGGCUAGAGUCUUGUAGAGGGGGGUAGAAUUCCAGGUGUAGCGGUGAAAUGCGUAGAGAUCUGGAGGAAUACCGGUGGCGAAGGCGGCNCNCCUGGACAAAGACUGACGCUCAGGUGCGAAAGCGUGNGNGAGCAAACAGGAUUAGAUACCCUGGUAGUCCACGCCGUAAACGAUGUCGACUUGGAGGUUGUGCCCUUGAGGCGUGGCUUCCGGAGCUAACGCGUUAAGUCGACCGCCUGGGGAGUACGGCCGCAAGGUUAAAACUCAAAUGAAUUGACGGGGGCCCGCACAAGCGGUGGAGCAUGUGGUUUAAUUCGAUGCAACGCGANGAACCUUACCUACUCUUGACAUCCAGNAGAANUUAGCAGAGAUGCUUUGNUGCGCNUUCGGGAACUNUGAGACAGGUGGUGCAUGGCUGUUGUCAGCUCGUGUUGUGAAAUGUUGGGUUAAGUCCCGCAACGAGCGCAACCCUUCUCNUUUGUUGCCAGCGGUUNGGCCGGGAACUCAAAGGAGACUGCCAGUGAUAAACNGGAGGAAGGUGGGGAUGACGUCANGUCAUCAUGGCCCUUACGAGUAGGGCUACACACGUGNUACAAUGGCAUAUACAAAGAGAAGCGACCUCGCGAGAGCAAGCNGACCUCAUAAAGUAUGUNNUAUUCCGGAUUGGANUNUGCAACUNGACUCCANGAAGUCGGAAUCGCUAGUAAUNGUAGAUCAGAAUGCUACGGUGAAUACGUUCCCGGGCCUUGUACACACCGCCCGUCACACCAUGGGAGUGGGUUGCANANAAGAAGCUAGGUAGCUUAACCUUCGGGAGGG
rnacentral:rRNA from 1 species